AACGCUGGCGGUAGGCUUAACACAUGCAAGUCGAGCGGUAACAGACAUUUUGAUUUUGCUUGCAAAAUCUCGUGCUGACGAGCGGCGAACGGGUGAGUAACGCGUAGGAAUCUACCUAGUAGAAGGGGAUAGCCCGAGGAAACUCGGAUUAAUACCGUAUACGUCCUUAGGGAGAAAGAGGGCUUAGCUUUGAUGCUCUCGCUAUUAGAUGAGCCUGCGUAAGAUUAGCUUGUUGGUGAGGUAAAGGCUCACCAAGGCGACGAUCUUUAGCUGGUCUGAGAGGACGAUCAGCCACAUUGGGACUGAGACACGGCCCAGACUCCUACGGGAGGCAGCAGUGGGGAAUAUUGGACAAUGGGCGCAAGCCUGAUCCAGCCAUACCGCGUGUGUGAAGAAGGCCUUCGGGUUGUAAAGCACUUUAAGUAAGGAAGAAAAGAGUAUUGUUAAUACCAUUACUCCGUGACAUUACUUACAGAAUAAGGACCGGCUAAU
rnacentral:rRNA from 1 species